GUGGCUCGAAUCAUCGAAUCCUGAGACGAACCAAGCCAUAGAACUCACCGGGAGCUGCUCUCUGAUUGGCUGCCAGACUGGAAGUGAAAUACACAUCACGACCACAGGAUGAGGAGGCAGAUUUAACGCUGAGCUCUUCUGGAAACAGUUUCACGUGUUGGAGAAGUUUAGGAAGCUGGACAAAGUCUGUCAGAAUCAGACCGAGCUGAAGGAGUUGGAGUCCAGCCUCACGUAGAUACUCUCUACAGGUUCAUCUGAAAAUGUUUCUUCAGUUUCUGGAUCACAGUCAUGACAGCCAACAGUGAGGAGG